CUUGCCCAAGAUCUCCUGCUUUCUGGAUUCCCCAGGAUCAACCAUCUGAGCAGAUACCUUGGAAUGUCCCCAGAUUUCAGAGCCUCGGACCAGCAGCAACACACUCUGAAGUAGGUCUCAGAAGACAAAAAGCUGAAAUCAACUCAUGCUUCCUGCUACACAGAAUCCACUGAGAGGAAAAGGAAACUUCACCGAAACUUCAGAAAGCUACAGAAAUGACAUCCAUUUUCACAAUCCCAGAAGGAAAGAUGCAUCUGAAGGGAAUAAAAACAGAGCAAUGGAAGAGUAUUUGUUAAAAUAAAUGGCUUUGACAGGGCAUUUUCUCUAAAGGUCUCCUUUGCCUCAAAUAGUACUCCUGCCUUCAGUCCAUCUUGCAUGCCACCCAGCUGUGGGCAUCCUGGCAGUUGCUGCCAUGUCCUUGCCUAAAAGCCUCCACCCCCAACCAACCCACC
rnacentral:lncRNA from 1 species